rnacentral:lncRNA from 1 species
GAAAUAGUCAUGACGUGUUUCCUGUUAGGGACGAAGGUCAAAUUCCAAACGUUCACACGACUGUUCACAGUUCUGGAAGCGAGAAUUCCAAGAGCCUUGUGUUGGCGAGGAAUGGGGCUCAUCAAAAUCCCCUUCUCCUCUUGCCCUGCCUGGAGAAAAGGCCCUGAAGACCCUUCCCCCGAGGACUGGGCUGCCUCAGGGGUAGAAGGUGUGGCGUGGAUGCUCCGAGCAGACACUUGGUCCCAAGGCCCAGCCAGGCAGCGGGAAAGGGUCCCUUCCAGAGGGUGUCAGCGAAUGGAGUGGAUCCAGUGGAGCAACGGAGGUUCCCAGAAGUACAGCACUCUGGACCCCGAUGGCCACCUUUAUUCACACAAAGAAAGGGUUUUUCCAUUUGGAGGUCAACAUGUUGAAGGUGAGUAGUUAAUAUUGUGUCUAAUCAAUAGCCUACAUUUUUCGGAGGGGCCUCAUCCAGAACGAAGAGUGAAGAUAGGACUUUGCUGGUACCAACCCCACUGAUAGAGAG